rnacentral:rRNA from 1 species
GACGAACGCUGGCGGCGUGCUUAACACAUGCAAGUCGAACGGAAAGGCCUGCUUUCCCUUGUGGAUUGCGGGUACUCGAGUGGCGAACGGGUGAGUAACACGUGAGUGAUCUGCCCCCAACUUGGGUAUAAGCCUGGGAAACUGGGUCUAAUUCCCGAUAGGACUGCAGGGUGGUGCCUGUGGUGGAAAACGAUUUUCUAGUGGUUGGGGAUGAGCUCGCGGCCUAUCAGCUUGUUGGUGGGGUAAUGGCCUACCAAGGCGGCGACGGGUAGCCGGCCGGAGAGGGUGGACGGCCACAUUGGGACUGGGACACGGCCCAGACUCCUACGGGAGGCAGCAGUGGGGAAGAUUGCACAAUGGGCGGAAGCCUGAUGCAGCGACGCCGCGUGGGGGAUGACGGCCUUCGGGUUGUAAACUCCUUUCGACCGCGAGGAAGCCACCUGGUUGGAAGGGUGGUGACGGUAGUGGUAGAAGAAGCACCGGCUAACUACGUG